AAAGUCCGUAACAAGGUCUCCGUAGGUGAACCUGCGGAGGGAUCAUUACACAAAUAUGAAGGCGGGCUGGAACCUCUCGGGGUUACAGCCUUGCUGAAUUAUUCACCCUUGUCUUUUGCGUACUUCUUGUUUCCUUGGUGGGUUCGCCCACCACUAGGACAAACAUAAACCUUUUGUAAUUGCAAUCAGCGUCAGUAACAAAUUAAUAAUUACAACUUUCAACAACGGAUCUCUUGGUUCUGGCAUCGAUGAAGAACGCAGCGAAAUGCGAUAAGUAGUGUGAAUUGCAGAAUUCAGUGAAUCAUCGAAUCUUUGAACGCACAUUGCGCCCUUUGGUAUUCCAAAGGGCAUGCCUGUUCGAGCGUCAUUUGUACCCUCAAGCUUUGCUUGGUGUUGGGCGUCUUGUCUCUAGCUUUGCUGGAGACUCGCCUUAAAGUAAUUGGCAGCCGGCCUACUGGUUUCGGAGCGCAGCACAAGUCGCACUCUCUAUCAGCAAAGGUCUAGCAUCCAUUAAGCCUUUUUUUCAACUUUUGACCUCGGAUCAGGUAGGGAUACCCGCUGAACUUAAGCAUAUCAAUAA
rnacentral:rRNA from 1 species